rnacentral:rRNA from 1 species
UCAGCUCGUGUCGUGAGAUGUUGGGUUAAGUCCCGCAACGAGCGCAACCCUUGUCAUUAGUUGCUACGAAAGGUCACUCUAAUGAGACUGCCGGUGACAAACCGGAGGAAGGUGGGGAUGACGUCAAGUCCUCAUGGCCCUUAUCGGUAGGGCUUCACACGUCAUACAAUGGUCGGGACAGAGCGUUGCAAAACCGCGAGGGGCAGCCAAUCCCAGAAACCCGGUCGUAGU